rnacentral:rRNA from 1 species
AUUGAACGCUGGCGGCAUGCCUUACACAUGCAAGUCGAGCGGCAGCGCGGGGGCAACCCUGGCGGCGAGCGGCGGACGGGUGAGUAAUACAUCGGAACGUGUCCUUUCGUGGGGGAUAACCAGUCGAAAGACUGGCUAAUACCGCAUGAGAUCUCACGAUGAAAGCGGGGGACCGCAAGGCCUCGCGCGAUUGGAGCGGCCGAUGUCGGAUUAGCUAGUUGGCGGGAUAAAAGCCCACCAAGGCGACGAUCCGUAGCUGGUUUGAGAGAACGACCAGCCACACUGGGACUGAGAUACGGCCCAGACUCCUACGGGAGGCAGCAGUGGGGAAUUUUGGACAAUGGGGGCAACCCUGAUCCAGCCAUGCCGCGUGUGUGAAGAAGGCCUUCGGGUUGUAAAGCACUUUCGGCCGGAACGAAAUCGCGCGGAUUAAUAACCCGCGUGGAUGACGGUACCGGAAGAAGAAGCACCGGCUAACUACGUGCCAGCAGCCGCCGUAA